GGUUAAGCGACUAAGCGUACACGGUGGAUGCCCUGGCAGUCAGAGGCGAUGAAGGACGUGCUAAUCUGCGAAAAGCGUCGGUAAGGUGAUAUGAACCGUUAUAACCGGCGAUGUCCGAAUGGGGAAACCCAGUGUGAUUCGUCACACUAUCGUUAACUGAAUACAUAGGUUAACGAGGCGAACCGGGGGAACUGAAACAUCUAAGUACCCCGAGGAAAAGAAAUCAACCGAGAUUCCCCCAGUAGCGGCGAGCGAACGGGGAGCAGCCCAGAGUCUGAAUCAGCUUGUGUGUUAGUGGAACGGUCUGGAAAGUCCGACGGUACAGGGUGAUAGUCCCGUACACCAAAAUGCACAGGCUGUGAACUCGAAGAGUAGGGCGGGACACGUGGUAUCCUGUCUGAAUAUGGGGGGACCAUCCUCCAAGGCUAAAUACUCCUGACUGACCGAUAGUGAACCAGUACCGUGAGGGAAAGGCGAAAAGAACCCCGGCGAGGGGAGUGAAAAAGAACCUGAAACCGUGUACGUACAAGCAGUGGGAGCACCUUCGGGUGUGACUGCGUACCUUUUGUAUAAUGGGUCAGCGACUUAUAUUCUGUAGCAAGGUUAACCGUAUAGGGGAGCCGCAGGGAAACCGAGUCUUAACUGGGCGUUAAGUUGCAGGGUAUAGACCCGAAACCCGGUGAUCUAGCCAUGGGCAGGUUGAAGGUUGGGUAACACUAACUGGAGGACCGAACCGACUAAUGUUGAAAAAUUAGCGGAUGACUUGUGGCUGGGGGUGAAAGGCCAAUCAAACCGGGAGAUAGCUGGUUCUCCCCGAAAGCUAUUUAGGUAGCGCCUCGUGAACUCAUCUUCGGGGGUAGAGCACUGUUUCGGCUAGGGGGUCAUCCCGACUUACCAACCCGAUGCAAACUACGAAUACCGAAGAAUGUUAUCACGGGAGACACACGGCGGGUGCUAACGUCCGUCGUGAAGAGGGAAACAACCCAGACCGCCAGCUAAGGUCCCAAAGUCAUGGUUAAGUGGGAAACGAUGUGGGAAGGCACAGACAGCCAGGAUGUUGGCUUAGAAGCAGCCAUCAUUUAAAGAAAGCGUAAUAGCUCACUGGUCGAGUCGGCCUGCGCGGAAGAUGUAACGGGGCUAAACCAUGCACCGAAGCUGCGGCAGCGACACUAUGUGUUGUUGGGUAGGGGAGCGUUCUGUAAGCCUGCGAAGGUGACCUGUGAGGGUUGCUGGAGGUAUCAGAAGUGCGAAUGCUGACAUAAGUAACGAUAAAGCGGGUGAAAAGCCCGCUCGCCGGAAGACCAAGGGUUCCUGUCCAACGUUAAUCGGGGCAGGGUGAGUCGACCCCUAAGGCGAGGCCGAAAGGCGUAGUCGAUGGGAAACAGGUUAAUAUUCCUGUACUUGGUGUUACUGCGAAGGGGGGACGGAGAAGGCUAUGUUAGCCGGGCGACGGUUGUCCCGGUUUAAGCAUGUAGGCUGAUUGUCCAGGCAAAUCCGGAUAAUCAAGGCUGAGGUGUGAUGACGAGGCACUACGGUGCUGAAGUAACAAAUGCCCUGCUUCCAGGAAAAGCCUCUAAGCAUCAGGUAACAUCAAAUCGUACCCCAAACCGACACAGGUGGUCAGGUAGAGAAUACCAAGGCGCUUGAGAGAACUCGGGUGAAGGAACUAGGCAAAAUGGUGCCGUAACUUCGGGAGAAGGCACGCUGGUGUGUAGGUGAAGUCCCUGCGGAUGGAGCUGAGACCAGUCGAAGAUACCAGCUGGCUGCAACUGUUUAUUAAAAACACAGCACUGUGCAAACACGAAAGUGGACGUAUACGGUGUGACGCCUGCCCGGUGCCGGAAGGUUAAUUGAUGGGGUUAUCCGUAAGGAGAAGCUCUUGAUCGAAGCCCCGGUAAACGGCGGCCGUAACUAUAACGGUCCUAAGGUAGCGAAAUUCCUUGUCGGGUAAGUUCCGACCUGCACGAAUGGCGUAAUGAUGGCCAGGCUGUCUCCACCCGAGACUCAGUGAAAUUGAACUCGCUGUGAAGAUGCAGUGUACCCGCGGCAAGACGGAAAGACCCCGUGAACCUUUACUAUAGCUUGACACUGAACAUUGAGCCUUGAUGUGUAGGAUAGGUGGGAGGCUUUGAAGCGUGGACGCCAGUCUGCGUGGAGCCAACCUUGAAAUACCACCCUUUAAUGUUUGAUGUUCUAACGUUGGCCCCUGACCGGGGUUGCGGACAGUGUCUGGUGGGUAGUUUGACUGGGGCGGUCUCCUCCCAAAGCGUAACGGAGGAGCACGAAGGUUAGCUAAUCCUGGUCGGACAUCAGGAGGUUAGUGCAAUGGCAUAAGCUAGCUUGACUGCGAGCGUGACGGCGCGAGCAGGUGCGAAAGCAGGUCAUAGUGAUCCGGUGGUUCUGAAUGGAAGGGCCAUCGCUCAACGGAUAAAAGGUACUCCGGGGAUAACAGGCUGAUACCGCCCAAGAGUUCAUAUCGACGGCGGUGUUUGGCACCUCGAUGUCGGCUCAUCACAUCCUGGGGCUGAAGUAGGUCCCAAGGGUAUGGCUGUUCGCCAUUUAAAGUGGUACGCGAGCUGGGUUUAGAACGUCGUGAGACAGUUCGGUCCCUAUCUGCCGUGGGCGCUGGAGAAUUGAGGGGGGCUGCUCCUAGUACGAGAGGACCGGAGUGGACGCAUCACUGGUGUUCGGGUUGUCAUGCCAAUGGCACUGCCCGGUAGCUAAAUGCGGAAGAGAUAAGUGCUGAAAGCAUCUAAGCACGAAACUUGCCCCGAGAUGAGUUCUCCCUGAGACUUUAAGUCUCCUGAAGGAACGUUAAAGACGAUGACGUUGAUAGGCCGGGUGUGUAAGCGCAGCGAUGCGUUGAGCUAACCGGUACUAAUGAACCGUGAGGCUUAACCUU
rnacentral:rRNA from 1 species